rnacentral:rRNA from 1 species
UCCUACGGGAGGCAGCAGUGGGGAAUAUUGGACAAUGGGCGAAAGCCUGAUCCAGCCAUGCCGCGUGUGUGAAGAAGGUCUUCGGAUUGUAAAGCACUUUAAGUCGGGAGGAAGGGCAGUAAGCUAAUACCUUGCUGUUUUGACGUUACCGACAGAAUAAGCACCGGCUAACUUCGUGCCAGCAGCCGCGGUAAUACGAAGGGUGCAAGCGUUAAUCGGAAUUACUGG